AGUGAACGCUGGCGGUAGGCCUAACACAUGCAAGUCGAACGGCAGCACAGUAAGAGCUUGCUCUUACGGGUGGCGAGUGGCGGACGGGUGAGGAAUACAUCGGAAUCUACUUUUUCGUGGGGGAUAACGUAGGGAUACUUACGCUAAUACCGCAUACGACCUACGGGUGAAAGCAGGGGAUCUUCGGACCUUGCGCGAUUGAAUGAGCCGAUGUGGGAUUAGCUAGUUGGCGGGGUAAGGGCCCACCAAGGCGACGAUCCGUAGCUGGUCUGAGAGGAUGAUCAGCCACACUGGAACUGAGACACGGACCAGACUCCUACGGGAGGCAGCAGUGGGGAAUAUUGGACAAUGGGCGCAAGCCUGAUCCAGCCAUACCGCGUGGGUGAAGAAGGCCUUCGGGUUGUAAAGCCCUUUUGUUGGGAAAGAAAAGCAGCAGGUUAAUACCCCGCUGUUCUGACGGUACCCAAAGAAUAAGCACCGGCUAACUUCGUG
rnacentral:rRNA from 1 species